rnacentral:lncRNA from 1 species
AUUUUAUGUUUGACAACAGGAGGAGGAGUUCCUCUAUUUACCCGAAUGUCAGCCAGUUUAAAGCCUGUAGGUUAUAAAAAUAUAUAUAAUUUUGAAUUAUUGACUAUGCAUUCAGUUAAUAUAAACUUUAGCGUUAGUGUUUGAGUGUUUUUGCUGGGCUUGUGUCCAGCAUAGACACGAGACCGACGAAGUUUGCCUUUGGUUUCGACUAAAAUCAGUUUAUAUAAAGUACAGUUUGUAGAGACAACGUCUCGGAACAUUAAAUCAUCUUCGUAAUAUUAACUUAUGAUGAAAACCAAACUCGAAUUGAUUUGUUGAUAAAAAGUUGUGAUUUAUAUUUGAAGUUCCCUCUGAAAAAAUACAUAAAAAUGUGCUCACAUGUGGUGAAAGGGAGCUUACUCUUGUAUUGUUUUUGUAACUAUUUAGUGAAUUGUAAAGGGCGGGAAAUUUAAAAUGCCAAUGUAUGUUAACAUAUUUGGAUAAAAAGAGUUGUGAUGUUUGCACUAAAUAGUCAUAUUUUUUAAUGCUCGCAUUGUUAUUUUAGAAUUAAUGUAGAAAUUUACACUUUGGGUAUUUUAUUUAGCAGAAUACAUGCACCUUAUCGCAAAUCCCGGCUGACCCGGCCGUUUGAACUUUUGACGCAUACAACAAUCACUUUUCCAUUGUGGCGCCAGAUAUUUUGCUUUAUGACGUCAAAAUUUUUACGGGAACCUGUGUGAUAUCCAGUAAUGGCGGACAAAUAGCGAUAAGGUGUAUAGGGCUCUUCACAGUUAGAUUGGCCAUAUUGGAUAGGGGGCAGAUUUUCAUAAUGGAGGUAGAAAUAGUGUGAAAAAUACAGGAAAACAUCAUCAAAACAGAUCAGUUGCUUGGAAACACAUAUAGGAUUUCCCAUACUUUCAUACUAUUUCCACCUCUUUCUCAAAAAUCAGCCCCCUAUCCAAUAUGGCCGAACUUACCAUGAAGAGCCCUAUUUUGUCUCGGAAUGACUUUAUAUCUGCUCAGAAUAACCAUCUGACAAACAUCAAGUAACCAUCACUUUUAAAUUAUGAUGUCACAGAUUAUAGGAACUUGUGAAGUUGUGUGAUUGUAUGUUAUGGCGGAAAAAGAGUGAAAAAAAUGCAUUCUAGUGUAAAUUAUAACUAAAUACUUCUAAUGAAAUCCCUUUUGGAUUUUAUGAAAGUCAAAUCUGCACCUCAUUUUAUUUUUAGCUCACCUGGCCGAAGGGCCAAGUGAGCUUUUCCCAUCACUUGGUGUCCGUCGUCGUUAACUUUUACAAAAAUCUUCUCCUCUGAAACUACUGGGCCAAAUUAAACCAAACUAGGCCACAAUCAUCAUUUGGGUAUCUAGUUUAAAAAAGUGUGGCGUGACCCGGCCAACCAACAAGAUGGCCGCCAUGGCUAAAAAUAGACAUAGGGGUAAAUGCGUUUUUGGCUAUAACUCAAAAACAAAAGCAUUUAGAGUAAAUCUGACAUGGGGUACAAUUGUUUAUCAGGUCAAGAUCUUUCUGCCCUCAAAUUUUCAGAUGAAUCCGACAAUCUGUUGUUGGGUUGCUGCCUGAAUUGGUAAUUUAGGGAUUUUUUGCUGUUAUUUGGUUAUUAUCUUGAAUAUUAUAUGAUAGAGAUAACUGUAACAGCAAUAAUUCAUCAAAGUUAGAUUUACAAAUAAGUCAACAGGACCAAAAUGGUCAGUUGACCCCUUUAGGAGUUAUUGACCUUUAUAGUCAAUUUUUAACCAUUUUUCGUAAAUCUUAGAAAUCUUUUACAAAAAUCUUCUCCUCUGAAACUACUGGGCCAAAUUAAUCCAAACUUGGCCACAAUCAUCUUUUGGGGUAUCUAGUUUAAAAAAUGUGUGCGUACCCGGCCAACAACCAAGAUGGCCGCCAUGGCUAAAAAUAGAACAUAGGGGUAAAAUGCAGUUUUUGGCUUAUAACUCAAAAACCAAAGCAUUUAGAGCAAAUCUGACAUGGUUAAAAGUGUUUAUCAGGUCAAGAUCUAUCUGUCCUGAAAUUUUCAGAUGAAUCGGACAAACUGUUGUUGGGUUGCUGCCCCUGAAUUGGUAUUUUUAAGGAAAUUUUGCUGUUUUUGGUUAUUAUCUUGAAUAUUAUUAUAGAUAGAGAUAAACUGUAAACAGCAAUAAUGUUCAGCAAAGUAAGAUUUACAAAUAUGUCAACACAACGAAAUGGUCAGUUGACCCCUUUAGGAGUUAUUGCCCUUUAUAGUUAAAUUUUAACCAUUUUUUCGUAAAUCUUAGUAAUCUUUUACAAAAAUCUUCUCCUCUGAAACUACUGGGCCAAAUUGAAACCAAACUUGGCCAAAAUCAUCAUUGGGGUAUCUAGUUUAAAAAAUGUGUGGCGUGACCCGGCCGACCAACCAAGAUGGCCGCCAUGGCUAAAAAAUAGAAAAUAGGGGUAAAAUGCAGUUUUUGUCUUAUAACUCAAAAACCAAAGCAUUUAGAGCAAAUCUGACAUGGGGUUAAAUUGUUUAUCAGGUUUGAUCUUUCUGCCCUCGUAUUUUCAGAUGAAUCCGACAAACCGUUUUUGGGUUUCUGCCCCUGAAUUGGUAAUGUUAGGGAAUUUUUGCUGUUUUUGGUUAUUAUCUUGAAUAUUAUUAUAGACAGAGAUAAACUGUAAACAGCAAUAAUGUUCAGCAAAGUAAGAUCUACAAAUAAGUCAAAUGACUAAAAUUGUCAAUUGACCCCUUAAGGAGUUAUUGCCCUUUAUAGUUAAUUUUUAGCAUUUUUCAUAAAUUUUUGUACUGUAAUUACUGGGCCAAGUUCAUUAUAGAUAGAAAUAAUUGUAGCAAAAAGAAUGUUCAGUAAAGUAAGAUCUACAAACACAUCACCAUCACCAAAACACAAUUAUGUCAUGAAUUUAUCUGUGUCCAUUGUUUAAUAUGCACAUAGACCAAGGUGAGCGACACAGGCUCUUUAGAGCCUCUAGUUUGAUUAUUAGUUUUUAUUUAAAAAACGUAAGAACUUAAUUAUGCCAAUUAAAAAGAUCACCAGCUUUUGGUAUUGAACAAGUAGCCAUAUUAGGUACAUUAGUGUCACCUAUAUUCGUGGAUAUAAGCUUAAGACUAUUCAAAUGGAAUGCGGUAAAACUAAAAAAACGAGUUAGUUUUUUUAUGUCUAUAAUGUUACCUUAGAACUUCAUUAAAAUUAUACAAGUUAGUUUGAUCAUGUUGUUUCUUUCCAUUAGCUAGUUUAUUUGAUAUGACCAACAUUGCUAGUGUACACAAAAAAUCGGCAUAUGAUGCCAAGUAUGUCACCUAUUUUCGUGUUAAAAGUUUGUAUGGAAGCCCAGUGGUGAGCAUAUAAUUGUAGUUUCAUACAAGCAAAUGUUCACAACUCAAAAGUAGUCCAACUAAUUAUAAAAAACUGUCAACAGUAAAUGUUAAAUAUAGAUAAAACUGAAAACAGUCAAACAAUUUACAAAUGUAUAUAAUGUAUCAUUAUCAUUAUAUUCAGUUUCUUUCUGCCUUUGAAGUUUGACCUGUGAUACACAAAUCCUUUUUUUUUUAAACAAAAACAAAUAAUUUAAUUUUGGAUGUAACACGUCUUCUGAUUGGCUGACGUUAUUUAGUUAUCAGCCCAUAGACAUAAUUUAGUCAUGUGACCCUGACGUCAUCAACGUUUUUUCAUGGCUUUCUACAGUUUAAAAUGUAAUUUAGAAUUAAAUUAUAAGAAAUGACUGUAAUAUUUUUUCUGUCUAUUUGAAAUAACAUAAAAAAUGUGGUGCACACUGUUAAAUAACACGCUACGCACGUUAUUCAGUGUGCACCAAAUUUUUUAUGUUAUUUCUUCAUAGACAGAAAAAAUAUUACAGUCAUUCCUUAAAUAAAUACAUAAUUAAGACUAUUUAUAUACAAAUCCUCUACAAAACUCAGUAAUCAGUGUUAGUUGAACUUAAUUUAAAAGAAUUGUGCUCAAUAACUCCUUUUUGAAGUUGAUUUUGAUGAACCAAAAGUCAUCUUUUAUUGUUAAAAUACAUCCAAAACAUUGAUAGGGAAUCUUGUUAAUCAGGUGAUAAUGUUCAUUGUAACAUAAAUUGUAUUUUUUCUUAUGAUGUUUUAACGAAAUAAUUCGCUUAAAAAGUGUGUUUACGGAAAACCAUGGUAUAUUACAUGUACAUGCAAAUUGAUGUUGUACCAUACUUUCAGUGUUCUUUCCAGGCCUAUAUGACGCUGCGGCACGGCGCCUUAAUAAUAUUUUCGUAGAUCCCGCAGCGUCUUAAUUGGCCGCUGUCCCUUACUACUUGAUCCCGCAGCAUGUUAAUUUUCACAUUUUCAUUAUAAAUGUUGGUUAAAAUUGUCAAGUUGCUGAUCACCGCUGAGAGGUCGGUCAGUGUUAGGCAAUAACUGAUAAUUAGUUUUACCUGAGCCACGCUUAUCUCAGCCUUAUCGGACUAUGUUAUCAUGUAAUAGCGUAAAUGAUCAUCAAGAAAUCGAUAUUUUCAGAAGAGAAUUAAAAAAAUUAAAAACUUCAGUGCAGAAAUUGAAGAAAUAGAUCGCAAAUAUGUUGUAUUUACACAUCGUGUGAGUGAUUACUUGACCAUUUAAAUAACGAAUUUUUUCAUUUGUCGAGAAGAAGAAUCUAUUUAUACAUUUGUACAUGACCAAUGAAUGUAUUGAAUACACGUGAUAAAUUUGAAUACACAUUGCUAAAGAUAUUUACGAUGAAAAUUAUGAAUGAGAGUUUGUUUGAAAAAAUUAAAAUAAACUUUGAAUAAAGAUAACGAGGUGUGAUUUAAAUUAAUAGAAAGUGAAAAAAUGUUGAUUGCAAGCUCAAAUCGUCUCAAACUGUCAUGUUUUUAGAAAUAAAAUGAUCAUUGAACAUCGAUCACGAAUCUGUCCGUCGGGAAAUAUGUGACAAUCCAAUCAACAUGGGUAGAAUCGCCGCAGCUUCUGUUUAAUGUCAUAAGUAAAUAAUUUCAAUGGUCUUAACUUUAAUGAAUUUGUAAAGUUUCGUUUAUAUCUACCUGUCAAAGAUAGGUUUUAACAAUAAUACACACGGAAGCGUAAUGUCAAACUACGGAAACUGUUCAGCUGUUCAUUAAAAUAUUUUAAUAAAGACUUUUUUAUUUAAAAAGUUGUAUACCAAAUAUCUAAACCAUAUUCGAUUUUAAUAAUUUGAAUAAACAUGUUCUCUGCAAAUAACAAAGGGUGACUUCAAAGCAAAAGGCAGAUGAUGGAAGUAAAAGUUUUGUUUUUCAGACCAAUGACUUCUAAUGAAAAGGGCUCCGUCUACACCGUCAGUAUUAUAAGCAGAUGGCAUUGCUUCUCCCAAUCCCAACCGAGCUUAAGUUAUGGCAAGUGAUAACAGCAAGCACCAUGUUUCUGGUUUCAGUGACAAGUGGCUCACUGAGUUUUCAUGCUUAGAAAUGUUAAAGGGGGGUAUAAGCAAAGUUAUUAUGAGAGGGGUUUCAACCCUAAAGAGGAUAAAGACAAUGUUGAGGAACAGAUUGUCCAACAAAAUAACAUUAUCUUGAACCAAUAACCCUAGAAGGAGCAGAGAGUACAGAGAUGAAUAUCUUUAAUAGACUGAAUAUAAAUAACUUUUGUGUUUAAAAUCAAUUUAUUUCAUAUAUUCUUGUAAUUCAUUAGUACUCUGCAUUAUUAACACCAUACACAAUGCAUUAAAUUUAUAUUGCAUGUCAUGAUUUAUGACUAAUUGCUUAAGAUCACAAAAGUUCACUCUAACUAAGAGUUACGUGCCCUUGAAUUUUGCGCCUUAAAAAAAUCCUGGGGAGAACACUGACUUUGCUAAUUAAAUAUGCAACUCAACUAGAAUCUAAAGGAAAGAAGGCGGAGCUUAGCUAUGGUACAAAAUAUUCAUGUUCAUGUUAUUCCAUGGUUGAAGCUCCACCUUUUUUUUUAAAGGUAUCUGCCUCUGAAAUAUUUAGGAAACCGAAAAACGUAAUAGGUCAAAAGAUUUUCAUUUGUUUUCAUUAUAACAAAAACAAUAAAUCAUGUGUACCACAUCUUAAGAACCUUUUUCAAACUAUAUAGGAUUGUUACUAGUUGCCUUAAUUUUGAAAAAUUAGGCCACACUAAAAAUAUUUUGGUUUGCCCAAACCCUACCCAAAGGUUGAACAGUGGUAGUUUAGGGCAUUUUCUUUCUUUUUCAAAAAAAAAAUUGAAGUAUCAGAUGUUUAUUAGUCUUCAUGCCUAUUUGAUUAAAAAAAAACUUCUUCAAAUCAGGACAAUAAAAGAAUUUGAGUAGGCAGCUUUUUUCUGGGUAGGUAGCGUUUGGGCAAACAGACCUAACAGUGUUCCAGCUAGGAUUUGAAAAUAGAGGGGCGCGUGUUUUAUAAAAGGGCACUUUAGCGCGUUCUCACUGAAAAAAAUCAAAUACUUUAUGUUACCACAUAAAGACCUAUUUUUAGAAAGCAUGUUGCUAAGUUAAAUAGCUAUUAUAUACAAGUUUAAAAAUCAUUUAUUUAGAACAUAUAAACAUGUAUAAGUUAAAAUCAAACUGAUAGCAAUAAUAGACAUUACUAUAUUCAUUUCUCUUUCAGAACUAUAGAUUUUUUCAAAGAAGAGUUCAAUAUACGUUGAUAGGGGGUCUUCAAUGGAUAGAAACAAGUGACCUGUGAUUUCAAUAAGAAAAUUGAUACAAAAAUCGGACUUUCUAGAGCUCCGUAAUCGGCACAAUAAUAAAUUGAUUCAAUUUUGUAAGUUUAUUAUCAAUUCAACAAGCAUCUCUGUUUACUUCAUGUUGAGCGUAUUUAAUAAUAUCAAUAUUAAAGUUAGUCAAAACGGAUUUCAAUUUAAGAAAAAAUGAUAUAAAAAUCGGACUUUCGAGUGCUCCGUAAUCGGCGGAAUUUACAAUAGAAGAACAAUUGCGAUAUUUGAUAGAAAACUUUCUUCUUCUCGAUUUUUCAUAAAGGUAAAGAAUUAAAUUAUUUUUUUACAUUUUAUGGUCAUUAUUCUUAAAAGAUGUAAUAGACUGGCAAGUCUUUGAUAUUUUCUUCUUGUCAUUUCCGAGUUGUGGUAAUUUUUCUUUUUCGUCAGCAUUUUGCGUGUUGACCUAUUGGAAUGAUUCUUUUUAAAUGAACGUUAUUUUAUAAAUAACAAAUACAAUAGAAAUGAACACCGUUCUGCCGUUCACAUUUAUUUUAUAAAUUCUAUUUUGCGUCGUCAGGUGUUAAAAUAAUCAAUUCUUAACUUCGAUGUUUGGUGCUUCAGGGCAAAGGGAUUAGACAGGGUCGUAAAUUUCACCUGAUUAAGUAAUUGACUCUAAUCAAAUAGGUGAUUAUAUACAGCAACAAGUUCAACAAUUUUAAUCUGUUGUCUUAAUGAAGUGUGUGUAUAAAGACAUCAACAAAAUGGCGACGAUAUGAGGAAAAAAGAUCGUUUUUUAAACUUUUUUUCAAAAGGGCACAGAGGGGCGCAAAAUUUCGGGGGCGGGGCGCGGCGCCCCUCCAUUUCAUGCUAGCUGGAACACUGGACCUAUUAUUUAUUAUGGCCUUACUAAAAGUUUCUUCUUUCAGUUCUGAAAAAAAAAAAAAUUAAAAUGUAAUACUACAAUCAUCUUCGCUAGCCAAGGGUACUCCACUCCCUCUUCACCUUGCAGAUUGACCCAUUUGUGAUAUCAAUGUUGGCAUCAUCGGAAGAUUAAAGUCAAGCCCAUUCCGAUACAUUAUUCUUGACAAUGGUAGCACUUGAACCUUCAAUUUGGAGGUAAAAAACACGGUAGCGUCUAUAUUGUUAAAGCCGGAAACGAAAAAUACGUCCAUUCGUGCAUUUGUAUGAACAUACACAGGAACUUCUAUUAGUUGAUUAAAAACAUUCAAGUUGUCACUAAAUUAUCGUGUAUGUUUAGUGACGUAAAGAUUGUUGCUCAAAUAAACACGUGGCAAUUGUUUACAAACACUUUCUACAUUUACACGUGAUCAUUUAUAGCGCUUUUUUGAUUGGAUGGCGAUUUCUACUGCCAAUAAAAUCCUUAACCUUUGUUCUGAAAUAUUAUCUCAAUCCGCCAAGGGUGAAGAGAGCCGGAGUGGAUCGUAACCCUUGGCUAGCGAAGAUGUACUACAAUGUACUACCAUUACCUUUACGAAAAUUCAAUUAAAUUGCGAAUAUAAAAGUGGGGGAAAAAGGGGGGGGGGUGAAUUAAAGAAAAAGGAAUAAAUAUCGGCUACACAAAUUUGUGAAAAAACAUGUUUCUUUUUGCGAUCAAAUAGGGUAUACUAUCUAUGCUCCCAAGAUCCGCCACUGUUUCAGUCUUUACGAUGAAGUAUAAAUCUACAGGCCCGGACCUCAAUUUUUAAAAAUUUUUAGUUAAAUUCUGUUGGCCUAUAGAUAUGAUUUUUACAGGCCUGAGAGUAAUUCUACUAGCCUGGGCUGCCAGGGCUGCCACUCAGCGUGAAGACUGCUGUUUAGUGUUUUAUCGUUAAAAUUGGGUUUGAAUAAAUAAUCUAACAAUCCAAUUAAUAAAAUAACGGAAGAAGCAGUUUGUUGGAAAACUUUAAAUGUAUAAACAUGAUAAAUAUGCAAUUUCAAUGAGAUAAACAACCUGUAAAAUAUGAUUAAUUUGUAUGAUACCUUGAAAACCAAGAAAGAAAAAAACAAUUAUUUACUGUCAUUAGAAUAAUUAAUUAAUCCUUGUCACAGAAUCGACAUUUGUUCCUUUGAUGAUAUAAUGAAAUUACCUGAUCAUACACGGGACACAAAACAAAAAAUCAGGAAAACCGACAUUUUUUUCAUUUUGCAAAUUCUGGGGCUCUAUUAAUUUAAUGGCAACAGCAAGAGGAGCAAAAGGACUUGCACAGCUUCUAUUUAUGGAUAAAACUGUAACGUGUCAAUUUCCCAAUAAAAGUUCAAGGUCUUCAAAAGCUGUAAUCAUUUUAUUUAUAUUACAAAUUUAUAUAUACCAUGUGUCUACUUUAACAUAUUUAAACAAACUCAUCCUUUCGGAUUUUUUGUUUAAGUAUGUUAAGUCGUAAGAACCAUGAUAUAUAUAGUACUUAGAAAGUAGCGUAAUCAGACAACACUUGGAUUUGGGAUUAUAGCUUGGUAAUGAAGUUACUGUCGAAGAAUUGUCGUUGCAAAUAAGACAAAUAAAGAAAUAAGUGAAAUAAACCAUUUUGUUUAUUAAAUAAAUAAGUAACAAGUCUUACCUUGCUUGAAACGACUGGAUUUGUUUUGUAUGUUGUUGGAUAUCCUAUAGCAAUCCAAUCAUGCCAUUGAUGAUGUCAUAACAAUAACACGCCUGCAAGAUAUUUAGGAUUUCCAGAAGUCCACAAACUUAUAUGUAUCCAAGAAAUUAUGUGACUAGACUGUAGUUUUUUGGUGUUUAAGGCUAUAAUUACAAAUAUGAAAUAUGAUAACCAUGGGUGCAGAAAUAGAUACCUCAGGUACCCAAUCUACCAGGUCCUGAUUUGACUAUACCCUGGCCUGACUGUAGAUUUGACCAGGUCCCGGUUUAUCCAGGUGCUGAAGUGACUAUAACUAGACUUCAUUCAUUUUAAGGUUUGGCACACUGGUACCAAGUUAAGAAAACUCUUACUAACUGAAUAUUGAGUCUUACAAGGGUAACAAUAUGGCAGAUCUAAUUAUUCUAAAGGUAAAUAACUGUAUCAGAUCCAGAAAGAAAAUUAAGAAACUUGUUCCAAAGGAUUAGUUUUAUAUUGUAAAUUUGAAAAGUAAAUACAGCAUUUGGAAAACUUAAAUUAAAAAAAAAUAUUAAUAGUAAUACUUGUUAUACUUUUAUUUAGAUAGAGUUAUCUACCUUUGAAUAUUUGUGUUUGCUACAUUGUUAUCUACAGGGAGCUUGCACUAAAAUAGAAAGUUCGUUCUUCAGAGUUCUCAGGCACAAUGGCAUUGGUCUCUGAAUUUUUUUUCAUGCGCACCUUAAACAUAUUAACGUAGCCAACUCAAUUUUUUUUUAUAUAUUUGAGACUUGGUUGUGGACUUUAAUUAUAUUUCUAUUCAGUGGUUGUCUAUCCCAAUUAAACGUGUUAUGGUAUAAUCUAUAUUGAAUUAUAGACAUAAUUAUGUAUGACACACAUAUCUGUGUUUUGAGUGUUUUCCAAAUCAUUUGUAGCAGGGCUUGGUGUAUGUCAAUUGUAAAUAAUUGUGUUUUCUCACAGUGAGAAGUUGGGGGAGAAAGGGAUUAUCUCCCUUUAUUUAGACACUGAGGUGAAACAGAAAAUUGUAAUAUUCUCUGGAACAAUAUUUUAUAAUGAAAUAUUGUCAUUCUCCAUGCAUGUUAUGAUGUCAAUUAGUCAGGACAUUAUUUAAAAUUGAGAAUGGAAAUGGGGAAUGUGUCAAAGAGACAACAACCCGACCAAAUAAAAAACAACAGCAGAGGGUCACCAACAGGUCUUCAAUGUAGCGAGAAACCCCCGCACCCGGAGGCGUCCCUCAGCUGGCCCCAGUCAGAUAUAAUUAUUGGCAAAACUAGAUGAAACUAAAAAGAUUUUUUCUUCUUCUAGUUUUGUAUUUAUUUUAGUUAAACAAAUAUAUAAUAAACAUGACUAAUUUUAAUUGAUUGAAAUGAAUUUUAAUAUUUCAGCUAUCAUUUCCUGUGAUUGGUUCGCUGAAUGGAGUACAUAUGUUUGGUAUAAACCAGGAUGUAGAGUUGUUAGCCUCCACAACAGAUGAUGCUAAAGUUAUCUGGAAAGUUUUUCAUGAAAGGUAAAACAUUAAACCCAGCUAAUAACAUUAAAAUGAAAAAAAUUCUGUAAUGAAUAUAAAAAAGAAGAUGUGGUAUGAUUGCCAAUGAUACAACUGUCCACAAGAGACCAAAAUGACACAGACAUUAAAACAACUAUAGGUCACCAUACGGCCUUCAACAAUAAGCAAAGCCCUUACUGCAUAGACGGCUAUAAAGGCCCCGAUAUGACAAUGUACAAAUGUAAAACAACAAUUCAAAAAAAAACUAACAGCCUUAUUUAUUAUAAAAUUGUAGU